UACGUAGGGUGCGAGCGUUAAUCGGAAUUACUGGGCGUAAAGCGUGCGCAGGCGGUUUUGUAAGCCAGAUGUGAAAGCCCCGGGCUCAACCUGGGAAUGGCAUUUGGGACUGCAAGGCUGGAGUGUGGCAGAGGAGACUGGAAUUCCUGGUGUAGCAGUGAAAUGCGUAGAUAUGCGGAGGAACACCGAUGGCGAAGGCAAUCCCCUGGACCUGUACUGACGCUCAUGCACGAAAGCGUGGGGAGCAAACAGG
rnacentral:rRNA from 1 species